CUCCCUCACAUGCUGCAGUCUUUCAGAGGCAGAGCGUGGAGGCUGCACAUACACACAUCAACACGUUUAGAGCGACAUGGCAAGACUACCUCACCACUGUGUGAUGAUAUCAGUGUGUUUGGCAGGAGCUCUCCUACUGCUGCCGCUCUGCUUGGGUGUCGAGGAGGACCAAUAUAAUUCGAACUACGAUACUACUCCAACCCCGGAGUAUGACUACAAUUCAACAUUCGAGUUCUGGUUCUUCAGCAAUGUCAGCAGUGAAGAACUAGAGAAGUAUUUAAUGGAAAACGGAACAGAAACAGAAACCUUUCGAGGUGAAGAAGAGCCUACUGAGCCCACAAUCUUUGAUACGGAUCAGGCAUCUCAGUCAACGCCUCUAUGUUCCCUUCUUACUUUGGUUGUGAUGGUUCAUCCACUGCUCAGACUACUAUAGCAGACACACUGCACAUUACAGGACCCUCUUACACAAUCUGAACAGAAGUCCAGGAAGAAGAAGAGCAGAUGGACAGAUAACCUGAACGAAAGACAUGUGGGCAUCCAUCACAGACAGACACAUGCUCAUGCACCCACAGAGCUCAAGCAAAAACAACGUUGGAUCCAUGACAAAUCAUGACAACACACGGCUUGCAAGCUGUAAAUGAAAAGACACAUUGUUUGCUAUUCUUUGUCACAGCAAAACAGGCACACGGAUGUCAGAGGUCUCAUAGGCUUGAUCAAUGGAAUGGAAUAUGAAUGUGAAAUAGGGCUAAACUAAAUGACAGGUUCUUUUGUGGGUAUUUUUUUUCAGGUUGUGACUCAGAGGAGGUGAUUUGAGGAGUCUGAAUAACAAAGAAACUGAGAAAAACAAGAUCGUUCUCUUUUUUAAUGCAGGCUGUCCACUGUUAUGUAAAACAAUGCAAUUUUUAGCAAUAAUCAAACAUAUUUUAAUACAUUUGUCUCUUUUAUAAGACUUUGUCUAAGCAUUUUUUUUUAUCCGCAGUGCACAUCCUUUGAUUGCCACGACAAAAAUAAAUGUGUCAAAGAUGUAAUUGAGAAACAAGAAAAUCAGACAUCAGUGUUACAUAAUGUACUAAUUUAGCAAAGCUUUACACAAACUAACUUGGAUUCAUGUUAAGUUCAUUCAAGUUGGGGAACUGUAGAAACACUCUGAAGUUUUACAAUUAGACUGAGAUUUUCUAGUAAUUUUAAGCAUCAUGACCUCUUGCAGAUAUUACAUGUAGGCACUUUCCUUCACCACUGCACUUCUAAGCCUCACUAUUUCUUCAGUAAUCCUCGAUACAAGCACAUUUGUAACAUUUUGUAAUGGAUUUAUUAUUAUACAUAAAAAAAUUACAAAUACUGAUGGUGAUUUACACCAAAAUGCACAUGAAUUUGUGAGCCAGUUGAGCUUUUUUUAUGCGUUGUUACCAAUAAUGAAUAAAUAUUUUUUCAAGUAAUA